CUUGUUUGCUUCAUAGGCCUACUGGAACCUGGAAUUUGUGACUUAAAAGGUCUGUUGGUAUAUUCCUCAUGUACCUCACCAGUCAGUGCAAGUAAGAGAGCUGGGGUUUUUCUGUCCACAUACUUCUAACAAUCUUCAACUCUCUAAAAGAGACAAAAAUUAUGUACGUUUUUCUCUUCUAAGCUAAUGAGUUGUUUCUAUAAUGGCAUUGUGAGGGAGUCUGUUGGUUACCUGGGCCUUUUUGUAGCUGUAGAAUUUAUUGCCCAUGACACAGAGCAUGCCUUUCAUCAUACUUUUGUGGUGUAAAGGCUGAACCUUGUCACAAAACUCUUGCAUGGGACAGGUCUAAAUUUAGGCAACGUAAGUAAUCUCAGCAGCUACUGUUUUGAACUUGCAUGUUAGCAGGUGGAACUUUGCCAGGUUCUGGUUCAAUUUAGAUGUAAUUUUAAAUGAAGCAUUUAAUUUACUUAGAGAAGAUCUAUCCCACUCUUGUCUAGAACAAUUAUCUCUUUUGCAAAAACAAAAUGGUCUCCCUUAUAGCUAAAAUACAUAUGUUGUCUUACCUUAUAAAGUUACUGUCAGCUGCUUUUCCCCUACUAAUUUAUAAAUGGAAAUUUUCUUCUUUCUUCACUCUCAAUGCUUCUAAGUGGCAUAUAAUAGAAAAGGUGCUUGGUUUCUCUCCCAGAACAUAGCUGAACAAAUAAUCAUUGCUGUUUGUCUUCUAACCAUUUAUCUUCAACCAUGCCAGAUACUGAAAUAUUAGCUUCUACUAAUUUGCAGAACUGACAUAUUCUAAUAAGGAAUCCUAAUAAAACCAGCUCAUUACUUCUAUUCCUUUUAAACAUUAAAUUUAAAUUACAUGGUGGAAACAAUUGUAUUAGAAACACUUUUAUAAUUAAGAAGUUAUUAAGAAUUACUAAAAUCCUCCUUAUGCAUACUUAUGUCAUCUUAUACUUUUAUCUGUGUGUCUUAAGGCUCUAAUGGCACUAGAAAUAUCUCACAAUGCAUCUCUCCAUAAUUCCCACUGGUAUGCUGAAAGAUAGUAUUAAGAAGAUCAUUAAGAGCAUAGUCUCUUUAUGUUCCCAUAAGCUUUCCAUUAAUUUGCAUUUAGCUGUCUAAACUACAGCAAAGUUAAUAUUUACAGCAAGUUAAUACCUUGCUAAUAGAAAUGUGAAUCACACUUAUUCCUCCUGGUUAUUAAUACUCCUGUCUGGGCACAGAUGUGUUUUCAUAGGAUGAGUCUGGUUGCUAGAUAUGUGCUGAUGACAAGUGCACCCAGAAUUUUCCUGGGCACCCUCAAUUCAUAAGAGCAUUCUGUCCUAAAAGCUUAAUUGUGCGUCAAGCUGUGAAGCCCUUCUAUGUUUGGAAAUGCCCUUGCAGAGUGGUGUUGGGAGCAAUAGCAAGUAGGCUUUACUGUAGAUAAACAUAGUGCAUGUAUUGAAGAGCCCAUUGGUUGAGCCCAUGGGAUGUAUACAGCUCAUUUUUGGAAGGCAUGCAUAUCCUGUGCAUCUAGCAGUGGGCUUGAGGUUACAACCCAGGCACAGAGAAGAAGAGGUAUGUGUUUGUUAAAGCAAUUAAAUGAGGCUUUCUGUGCAUUUGGGCAUGCAUUGCUGUGUUUUAUCAAAAACUGGAAGCACAGAUUUGGAUGAAAUUGCAGGAUUCCAUAAGCUGGUACUUCAGGCAUGAAUCUUCUGUGCCUGUACUACCAGGCUGCUGCUUUUAUUGCUGGUAAGGAAAGGAACAAUGCUAUAAUCUUUCCAGAUGCGAUGAAACAAAUAUUUUGCUAGAAUAAAACAUAUUUGCAUCUAUUUGCUACAGUCUGAAGAGAUGUGUUUUCUUCCAUCAGAUGGCAAGGCAGUGAAUUUCAUUGAUUCAACUUGUUUCUCACUGCCAGCAGCCUUCUGUGCCUUACAGAUCUGUUUUUGCUGAGACCAUUUCUAAUGUUCAAAAGUUGGAAGCAGUUUUAAUCUGCUUGUUUAAAAGCUGUCAGAAAGCUGACGAGAAGGAAUGUUUUCUUUAAGUAGCCCCAGGCUUCCCAUCUGAUCCUGGGCUGUGCUCCUGGUAGGAAUGGGGACCCAGCUUAAGACCAGAGAAAGCUGAGGCAAGUGUUGUUGCUUAGCACAAGAUCCAGUUUUAUUGUGCACUGGUUGGAGCCCCAGUGAACUUUGGUGAUAAUAUUAAAUGUGGCUUUUUCAUCAGGUCCUCGGGGAAACUGUUACAGAAGAUUUUAAUAUUUUCUUUUUGAAAGUCCUGAGGAUCAGGCACUAACACUUUGUAUGUUGUCAUAGCAUGUCUCAAAGCACUGCUGCAUUUGUGUGAAGGAUCACUGAGCAGUCGUAUCAUGAAAGGGAAAACAAACUCUCAAUUGCUUUUGGUUGUACCAACUGCACUGCGGUAUUUGUUUAAAUGAAAGCUUUUAGCAUAAAUAGCUAUGCAUCCAGAAACCAAUUUAAGUUUUGAGAGUUCUACCUAAAAUUUCUAUUUGCUUCCAUAACAGCUGUAAGGAUGAAAUAAACUGGAUAGUCUGACAGGAGCCCAUAUGCCCCUUCUCAUGUUAGAGCUAUAACCAUCAGCUCAUGGCACACUAUUGCACUAGCAAUAAAAUGUUUCUAAGCUACGUAAUAAAGGUGUUCAGGUGUUGGUCUCUCAGAUGCUGAAGAAGUCAAGCUGCAUUUAAUUGAAAAUCUUCUCAGCUCAGGUCAUGACAUAAGAGAAACUGUAAUGUAGGAGAGGUAAGUAUAGUGUUAAUGUCAGUUGUAACUUUCUCUGAGGUAUGUAACACUUUGGUUUUGUUUAUGAAUACACAUAAACUGUAACUGGAAAUAACCUCCUAACUGUUUCUUAUUUAAGUGGAGAGGGAACUUAUUUGUGGGCAAACUGCCUGGAAUGGUUGCUCAUCACUUUACUACUGAUUGAUCAUGGUUAUGCAGAAAUAUGCCUUUAUACUUUGCUUGCUCAAAUAUGUAGCAACAGAGGAUAUUGUGUAUAUGAAUGAUGUUUGCACGUGAUUUGUUUAAAAGAACAAGGUCUGCUUGAGAAGAAGUAAAUCUGGCAAGUCAGAGCUAGUUCAUGGUACAGUAAAUUAUUCCAGCCUUCCUGAAAAUGAGUAUCUGGAUACAAUAACAACAUUAGCAUAAACCCCCAACACUAGAGUUUUAAUAAGCUCAAAGGUGUUACCACAACCCUUUACAACACAAUUUUUUUAUUUUUGAACUUCUAAACACAAUUUAGAUGACUGUCAGAUCUGACUUUUAGGAAUUUAGGUAAUCGCAAGUAUAACAAAUGCUAACUUCCAUUGCCAUAUAUGUAAGCAAAACAGUGUUCUACUAUAACUUUACAGAAGUAAGAAGAAAUAGAGAUUUAGCAAGAGGUUUAAUUUUGCUUCACUUGCAUUUAGUUCUUCAGGCUUAUGUUUCUCAUUUUAGCUGGCUUCUGAGUUAUGCCUGACAUUGUAGCAUAAGGAAGGUUUAUACAAUUCUCAGAGCUUGUUCCUAAGUAAUCUUUUAGAGACAUGGAUUUUCUUAAUUGAUUUUUUUUUUCCCCACAAUCCUGUUAGGAUAAUAAAAUGGAGGCAGCUAUUCUUUACCUGAAGACAUAUCAACCUAGUGGCAUUUGUCUUCAGCUUAGGAAUAUAAAGUAGUAGGAGACUGAUUAAAACAAAAUCUUGUAUCCUUGCAAAUGUUACCACUGUCAUGUCCUCCUAAGUUCUGGUUUGUGUUGGUAUUGACCUUGGGUGCUUCAGUGGUACCAGAGUCAGAAAGAAAGAUGUCUAUUAUUACUAUUAAUCAAUACCUACAGAGGAGUGUCUGGGACCAAUUAUGAUGUAUUCUAAAGGGAAAAUCAGGACUAUCUGGAAUAAAAUAAACAUUGGCAAUAUUACUUUGUGGGAAGGAAGCACAGAGUGCUUAGCCCUCCAUAUCUAGUUGAGGUGUUGCUGCUGUAAUAGGAGAUCCUGAAGUUGUUUUUUUUACCUUUAUUUUCCUUUUUUUCCCCCUACCUGGAGGUCUUGUUUACAGAGAGUGAUGUUUGAUAACAGGGUUACAGCUGAAGCUGACACCAAAAGGUGUAAUUUCAUUCAGAAUUGCUUAUUUUGGCACAAGAAUAAAAACAGCUAAUGCAAUUUUAAAAAAUCUUUAAGAUUCAAAGAUAGGGGAUAGGUAACAAUGACUGUGAUUAUGGGGCUUGAGAUUCAUAGCUCACUUGUUAUUUACUCUCUAGGAUUCUAGUGGGAUCCCAGAGCUAUGUAUUAUUGGAAUUUAUGGACAAAUGGCAAUGUAGCAACAUACUGAGUUGUUGCAAAUGUCCAUAUUUGCAGUGUUUUGAUGGAAGACUCUGUGGAAAUUAAUUACCUAAUUUGGUUUGGUUUCUUUGAUGCUCGCAGAUUCCUCGUGAGCUUAUGCAGA
rnacentral:lncRNA from 1 species